UUUGCAACGAACUUAUAGUUC
rnacentral:piRNA from 1 species